rnacentral:rRNA from 1 species
AAUGAACGCUGGCGGCAUGCCUAACACAUGCAAGUCGAACGAGACCUCCGGGCUUAGUGGCGCACGGGUUCGCAACGGGUUGGAUACUGCCUUUAUGAUCGGAAUAACUCUCUGAAAGGGGUGCUAAAACCGGAUAAUAUCUUCGGACAAAAGAUUUAUCGCCUUUGGAUGGGCUCGCGUUGGAUUUGGUUGUUGGUAGGGUAAAAGCCUACCCAGGUGAUGAUUCAUAGCUGGUCUGAGAGGGUGCCCAGCCACACUGGGACUGAGACACGGACCAGACUCCUACGCAGGGCAGCAGUAGGGAAUAUUGGACAAUGGGCGAAAGUCUGAUCCAGCAAUGCCGCGUGAGUGAUGAAGGCCUUAGGAUUGUAAAGCUCUUUUACCCGAGAUGAUAAUGACAGUACCGGGAGAAUAAGCACCGGCUAACUCCGUG